rnacentral:lncRNA from 10 species
CCAGAGGCAACUUUGCUCUUUAAACUCAGACAGGGACUCAUUCUGCUGCCCAGGCUAGAAUGCAGUGGUGUAAUCAUGGCUCAUUGCAACCUCCACCUCCUGGGCUCGAGUGAUCCUCCCAUCUGAACCUCCCCAACUAGCUGGAACCACUGGUGCGCACUACCACAUCCGGCUAAUUUUUGCAUUUUUUGUAGAGACAGGUUUUCACCACGUUGCCCAGGCUAAUCUCAAACUCCUGAACUCAAGCGAUCUGCCCACCUCGGCCACCCAAAGUGCCAGGAUUACAGGUAUGAGACACUGUGUGGUCCCCUCAACUUAUUUUUUUAACAUUUUUUUUUCCAAUGAAGUUGCUUGUCUCUUUCACUUUUGUCCAAUUUGUUUCUUAUAUUUUCUUUUUAUUAUUAUUUUAAUAUUGAUUCAUUUUUUAACUCUUUUUUAUUCCUUUUAUUUCUUUCCCUAGUUUAUUUCAUAACUCACUUUUAUGCUUAUUUCUAUUUUACUGAUUUCAGUAUUAAUUAUUUUAAAUUGCUUUCUUUUGCACAGUUUUAGCUUUAUUAUUUCUUAUAUUAUGCUAUUUAUUCUUUAUUUUUGCUCAACUUCUUAGUUUCUGGCAUUCUGUUCUUUCACUUUAUCUCAUUGGUUUAAUUUCAUAAUUCAAAUUAUUUCCUGGUUAUUUUAACGUUCAUUUUAAGAAAUUGUUAUUGCUUUUAAUUUAAAAAAUGGUCUUUAUAUGGUAUAUGAAAAACAAUUCAAUAUGGAUAGCCCCAAGGACAAAGAGUCUGUACCAUGGAAAGGUGGCCUUGCAGUUUUCUAUCAAACUUCCCAGGAGCAGAAAUUUGCAACCUCCUCUUUGCCGCAACACACCAAAAGGAGCAGAAUCAUUGACUCUUAGUAGUUCUCAGCUGUGAUGCAACAAAGCAUUUCAAAACCUCUAGCUGAAUGCUAAGACAAAGGCUUCUCAUUGUGUGAAAGCUGAAGGAUCUCUCCCUGCAUUCCCUUCAUGGGCAUCUCUAGGCUACUUGGCCUCAUGGAUGCUUCAGGCUCUCCAGUGGCUUCAGAGAUCCCUAGUUUCCAGCAUUCCCCCUCCUGCUGCAUGUCUCAGUCUAACUGGUCAUUGAUAGUGGCAGGAGACAGACAAAUUCCUAGGCCGACAGGGUUGGGUUCCUGGUGAAACCCAGCCUUCAAAUCAAAGACAAUUUAAAGCCUGAAAACCGACCUGCUGAUUCCAGAUAGAGUCUACAACCAGAGUAAGAACUUCUAUUCCUGUUCGCCCACUGUUUCCCUAGUUGGUCCUUUCUGAAUAAUGCUUUUUUUUUUUUUUUUUUUUUUGAGAUGGUGUCUCACUCUGUUGUCCAGGCUGGAGUUCAAUGGCACGAUUUUGGCUCACUGCAUCCCCCACCUCCCAGGUUCAAGUGAUUCUCCUGCCUCAGCCUCCCGAAUAGCUGGGAUUACAGGCAUGCCACCACACUCCGCUAAUUUUGUAUUUUUAGCCAAGACGCGGUCUCACCAUGUUGGUCAGGCUGGUCUUGAACUCCUGACCUCAGGUGAUCCACCUGCCUUGGCCCCUCAAAGUGCUGGGAUUACAGGCAUGAUGAAUAAUGCUUUUUAACCAAUCAAAUGUUGCCUUUUCCAAGGCUACCUACAACCUGCGCCUCCUAAUUGCAAACCUAUAAAAACCCCAGACUCAGCCACACAGACAGCAACCUGCUUUCUGGCCCUUGGUACACAGCGGGCUACCCACUUUGGGUCCCCUCUUGCUGUUGAGAGCUUUUCUGUCGUUCAAUAAAAUGAUUCUCUGCCUUGCUUACUCUACGCUGUCUGCAUACCUCAUUCUUCUUGGUUGCAGGACAGGAACCCAGAACCUGAAGAAUAAUGGGAGCAAAAAAGUUUGUAACAUACUCCUGGCCAGCUCACCAAGCUGAAGGGGGUGAGGAUGACAGGAGCUGUGACCCUUCUGGGGGCCCAGACCUUGGGACUCUCUGAGCCAGAGCUGUAACACACCACUGUUCACUAAGCCACAGGCGGCAGGAAUGAACAAGCUAUAAUACGUUCCCACUCGCCGAGCUGCAAGCAGCAGGAAGGAGAAAGAGAGUUGUGGCAUUCCCCGGUGUCUCAGACCUCGGGACUCCCCUAGCAGAAGCUGUGACCCCCACUUGGUGCUCCGUGGUUGCUUGUUUUUCUGAGUUCUCUGGCACCACCUUGUCCCUCCUUGUCUGAAGGCCCACACCCAGCUGUGGAAACCACUUUGGGCACACCCGGUCCCACUAUGGGCUGUGCGCAGAGCUGUGGUGAUCACAGAAUCUGGGAGUGAGCCAACAACAGCCUGCCAGGCCAAGCGGGCGGAGCAAGCCCAGAGGGACUGAGCAAAGCUGGGGCAGAGUACCAGCCACAGAGGUUUUCAGCUGGCAAAGCGGCAGCAAAAGAAUCCUGUCUCAUCAUCAUGUUACAACUUCCUUUGGACAGUUUCUUAACUUCAUUCCCUGUCUCUAUAUUUCACCUUAUAAUCAAAACUCUAUGUCAUCCAUAGAUCAAUUUUUCUAAAAUGCAAAUGAAAUCAUGUCUUAAGAUAUUAUGUAAAGGCCUUUUAUAAAAUACAUUUUUUUCUAUAUUAUGAUUAUUUUUCAUUGUAGAGAUGGGGGUCUCACUAUGUUGCCCAGGCUUAAAAGCCUUUCUUAUUGAUAUCUGAAAAGGGUGAAGUUUUAAUAUGACACACCGGGCCUGUGCCUAGUUCUAGAGUCUCAUUUUGAGUGUCUCUUCCCCAUGGAUGCUAUAGUUCAGCAAACUUAAAAUUGAACUGCCCCAAACUCUCUCACUUGCCUCUCUGUUUUUCCUUAAGUGCAGUUACUUCUUUUCUUUGCAAUAUUCUUUUUUGUGUCUCUUUCUUUCUUUCUUUUUUCCCAUUCACCACUGAUCAGAAGGCAGGAAUAUUUUCUUUCUUGAUUGCCCUUUUUAGGAAAUCAACUUGAGUUUCAAUCCUAACUUUGAGAUAUUACUUUGUACUCCAGUCAGUUUGUUGUCUCUUUUUAAAAUGUUUCCGGCUGGGUGUGGUGGCUCAUGCCUGUAAUCUCAAUGCUUUGGGAUGCUGAGGCAGGAACACUGCUUGAGGCCAGGAGCUCAAGAUGAGCCUGGGCAACAAAGUGAGGCCCCAUCUCUGCAAGAAAUUUUUAAAAAUACAAUAAGAUAGAGAGGAAAUAAGAUAAUUACUUCUGAAGGAGGUAACAUGUUCUAUAAAUCAGAAGUAUGACUGGAGGUAUGAGGUAUCCUGGAGGUAUGUGUGGAUUUAUCUGCCUGGUAUGGCCCAAUUCUCUUUGUUAUUAAAGCAGGAAAUCAACACGACUCAAGUUUAGCACCAGGUAACGUAGGUUUCAUGUGGCAAGAUGACUUAGCUAAACUUGAUCAUCAUGUUUGAAGCCAAUGGCUGCUGAUCUUUACUUCCCUAUCAAACCUGCUGCAAUGCUUUAUAGUAAUGGCUAUGUACUUUCUAUACACUGUCUCCUUCAGUCUUAUGUCUCUUUCCAAUACUCAGAGUGGAAUGGAGUUUAGGGAUUGCUCCCUGGUCUAUCCAAUUUUCCAAAAUUACUACUCUGGGUAAGAUUUUUUUUUUUUUUUUAAUUUUUUGAGACAGGGUCUCACUCUGGCUGCUCAGGCUGGAAGGCAGUAGCACCAUCACAGUGCACCGUAGCCUCGACCUCCAAGUUCCAGGCUCAAGUGAUCCUCCCUCCUCAGCCCUACAGGCAUGUGCCACUGCACCUAGCUAAUUUAAAAUUUUUUUUGGUAGACUCCCUAAUUUGCCCAGGCUGGUCUCAAACUCCUGAGAUCAAGCAAUUCUCCCACCUCAGCCUCCCAAAAUGUUGGGAUUACAGGCAUGAGCCACCACACCUAGCCAAGAUAUUCUUCACUGUAUUCCACGGGACCAUACCUCCUGUCCAGGGAGAACUCCCUGGCUCACAAAAGAUAAGAGUGCACUCUCUAUGCCUAGCUUCUUUUUUUAUAUUUAUUUAUUUGUGACAGGGUCAGGUUUUGCUGCCCAGGCUAGAGUGCAGUGGUGCAAUCAUGGCUCAGUGGCUCACUGCAGCCUGGACCUCCCAGGCUCAAGCAAUCUCCCACCUCAGCCUCCUGAGAAGCUGAGACUACAGGCGCAUGCCACUACAUCUGUCUGAUUUUUGUAUUUUUAUUUUAUAGAGAUGGGAGUCUCCCUAUGUUGCCCAGGCUAGUCUCAAACUCCUAGGCUCAAACAUUCCACCUGCCUUGGCCUCCCGAAGUGCUGGGAUUACAGGCAUAAGCCACUGUGUCUGGCCCCACACUUGGACUUCGUAGGUCUGAAACUUCAUUUUAUUCAAGAGCUAUUCUUAAUAUAAUAGUUUGUGGUUUAAGAUUAUAGCUAUUAACUUUUAUUAAAGACAGAAUUUUCUUCUCAGUUUUCUAAAAAGCUUUUUUUUUUUUCAUAUUCUCUUGGCUUUAAAGAGAAGAGCAGUGUAAAAGUGGCUAGUCUGCCCCUUUAACUGCAAGUUCCCCUUAAAUCUUACUUUCACUUCCACAGUGUUACUGAACCUCCUCUCUGACAAAGGUCUAAUGACUUCCUAAUUGACAAAUCAAAAACUGCCUUCUCUGCUGACAGCCUCUACAUUGAAAGCUUUCGUUCCUAUCACUUCUUUUACAGUGCAAAUCUCAGUUAAUUUCUAUUCUCAUUCUCCUUUGUCUUCUCUUUCAAUCUCACUCCACUCUUUUCCUUGGGUUACUAAGGACAAACAUAUCCCUUUAUUUUUGUACUUGUAGCAGUUUUUGUACUGCUCUUAAUAACCCUUAGUAUAGGCUAAGUUCUCACUUUACCUGUACACAUGAUUGCUGCUGUGAUUUGUUUGUAUGUAUUGCUCCAAAAUUCAUAUGAUGGAACCUAACCCCCUAGGAGGUGGUAUUAGGAGGUGGGGUGCUUCGCAGGUCAUUAGGCUAUGAGAAUUCUGCCUUCAUGGAUAAGAUAAAUGCCCUUUUAAAAAAUGCAUCAUAGAGCUGCCUCCCUGCUCCCAUGCCUUUUGCCAUAUGAGGACACCUAGACUGCAUUAUCUCUGAAAAAUGAGCCUUUUUCUUUUCUAUUCUCCUUCUACCAUGUGAGGACACGGCUUUACCUCCUUCUCCAGAGGAUGCAACAAUAAGGCACCAUCUUGGAAGCAGAAAGCAGCCCUCACCAGACACCAAAUCUGCCAGCACCUUGAUCUUGGAUUUCCCAGACUCCAGAACUGUGAGAAAUAAAUUUUUAUUUUUUAUCAAUGAGCCAGUCUAAGGUAUUUUGUUAUAGCAACGCAAACGGACCAAGAUAAUUACCUUUUUUUACUAGAAUAUUUGUUACCUGAGCAUGAAGUUUUAUCUUUCUUUACUGCCUUUUACAUAGGAGGUAAUCAAAUGUGUCCUGAAUUCAGGUUAUUAAAUUAUAUAAUGAAUUAGAUUAUAUUGCCACUGUGUUGUCUCUUUUCACCAAAAUCUACUAAUAAAUAGUUAUGUUAAGAAAUUAAAUAUAUUGCCAGGUGCGGUGGCUCACGCUGUAAUCCCAGCACUUUGGGAAGCUGAGGCGGGCGGAUCACAAGGUCAGAAGUUCAAGACCAGCCUGGCCAAGAGACCAGCCUGGUCAAUAUGGUGAAACCCUAUCUCUACUAAAAA